AGAAGCGCGCGGCCUGCGGCACCGGGAACCGCUAUGGAUCCGUUCGUUCUGGGGAACCAAGACUCUCGCCCCCACCCCCUUCCUGUCCCGUAUGCCUUGGACAUGGGACUGAGGCCUUGAGGAAUCUUUCCGUGCUUCUCCCUAGGAGAGGACUAAGCACCUGCUGCGAGGAAGGACAGGGAUCCUCAGGAAGGGGGUCCUGGCCACUGUGGCUACUGUUUACCUGAAUCUCCUUCAUCUCAGCUCCUUCCUCCCUCCUCCCAGAAAAAAGAUGUGUAAGAAAUUAGCCCAUGGACCCCAGCUCCACCUGAACAUCAAUAUACCGUGAGGACAUUCCAGAGUCCCUGCAAAAGGUCUCGUGAGCUGCAGUUCAUUGAGUGGCUUUAGGUCACACGGAGAAAGGAGGGUUCCAGUUCCCUCUGAGAGGGCAGCCCAGGAGCCGGCACGGAAGGAGCAGGAUGCGUGUCACCUGAGACUCCGAUGACGGUGCGAGCCACAGCACUCGUGUGUGAGAACGGAGAGAAGCAGUGAAACAGAGAGAAGAAAACAAAUCCAUUCCACGGGCUAGGGAAUGUCGGUGAAACAACCUGGCCACACCGCACUUCUUAGAAGCAAAUAUUCUAUGGGAGAAACAAUCACAAGGGGUAACUCUAGAGCCUCAAGCACUGAAGUCAUCAACUGAGUUGGUGACACUCCAAACCCCCUUGGGCUGGGGUGCAAGAGCUGACGGACGCAGCCUUGGCGGCCACCUUCUCCUUCAAGCUCCUUGGCCAGGUGGGAGCCGUCAGGUCCACAUGCACACCUCCAACACUUCCCAAGCGAUGGCCAGCGCUAAAGCAGAAGCAAUAGGAUGACAUCUGCUGG
ensembl:lncRNA RNF157-AS1 RNF157 antisense RNA 1